CUAAGUUCAGUAUCAGUAUGGUGACCUCCUGGGAGCAGGGGCCCACCAGGUUGCCUAAGGAAAGGUAAACUGGCCCAGGUCAGAAACGGAGCAGCAGGUCAAAGCUCCUGUGCUGAUCAGUAG
rnacentral:SRP_RNA from 1 species